rnacentral:lncRNA from 1 species
GAUUAAUUAAGAAAAUGGAAUUUAGAGAGAGUCACUUUCUCUAAAAUACGAGUGUAUUAAUUUGAAAAAUCAAAACCACAAGAUUUCUAAAUUUCAUGAUAUCAAUGGAUUCAGGUAUGCUUUUGCAUCUAAUUUUGUGUUUUAUUAUUAAUAAUUUGACAUGACAGAUAUUGAUUUAUGGUUUUAAGUUUUAUAUCAAAAUUUUACGAUUCUUACAGUGGCCACCUCGAUCUUCAUUUCAAUUGAAGAGCUUCAAGAACAAUUUGUUUUGCUUACCUAGACCUUUAAUAAAACCUUUAAAAGCAAUUCAGGAGGUUUAAGAAGUUUGAAGCCACCAAAAACAUUCUCAAAAAUAAAUAUCAAAGAUGAAAAUGAAGGAAAGAGAAAUGAAUCUAGUGCCAUGAGUAUCACGAAUUUGGAUACACAUUCAGGUUGAAUAUACUAAUACUCUGAAAAAAAAGUUAAUAACUGUUCGUUUCAUCGAUAUGUAUUGAUAUAUACCAAUUUCACAUCCACCAUCAUACCUCGACUCUCAAAAGGUUAUAAUCUUUUUUAUAUGUUCAUUACAAUAGAUUACUUAUGUUGCUAACACCCACGAACAUUCCUAUUAUACAUAAAACAUAAUGAAUCAAAGUAUUUAGUUUAUUGAUUAAGAGUGUUUAUUAUAAUUUUAAAAUUUCCAGAUUAAUUUAUAAAUUAUAUUUAAGUAGUAAUUUAAAAGUUACGUUUGAGUUUAAGAUUCUAUUAUAUCUAAAUAUUUUGUACUGGAUACCUUCUACGGAUUGUAUUUUUUUCUUUUUCUUUUUGCCUUUCAACGUUUUCUAUUACAUAAUGAUUUACAUCGGAUUGUCUAAUUUUUGCUCCUUCUUAUUUUGUUCUUUCGUGUACUUCGAUUUAAUGAUGGGCUAAAUUUGGUAUUUAAAAAGCCAUCAAAUAGGUUUAAUUAGAGAUGGUAGUGACGAAUGAUGCCAGAUUCACCUCUACAGUCACUUUAUUCCAAUUUUUAUGUACAUCUCUUUUUUUAUUUUUUAAAAAAUAAACAGAAUUAUCUAAAAAAUAUUUUUAAUAUUCUCAACUUUAUUUUUACAAAAUACAAUUAAGGGAUAAUAGGUAAAAAUAAGUUUUUCCUAUGACAUAUUUUCAACUUUUUUAAUAGUUAUGUACGAGGGUAAAAUAGUAAUUUUAUACAAUAGACGAAUCAAACAAUUAUUAUAAUUGUUCUGUUUUGAUUUUUUACGUGCCUGUUUCACUGUUUAUGUUUGAGGAUCGUAGCUGCCCCUCCCAAUAACAUCAUCUCCAAAGUUCAUAACUACGUUCUUCCCUUAAAAAUGUAAUGUGUCUUACCAUUAUAUUCGAACACUUGUUAAAUUAUUGCUACCAAAAGAAAAAAAUGUAUAUACUUUGAUAAUUUCACUUCUAAUCCCUUUUAAUUAUAAACAGAUAAAUUAAUAUUUUUAACCCUUCCAAGAAAUUAUUUAAUACAAUAUCUCUUAGCUUAAAAAAUAAAAUUUAUUUAUACUCCAACACCAACACCAAAUUCUAAACUUCCAUCCCUAAGUUGGAUGAAUAAAGAAAUACAUGUUUAUGAAGUGCUUUAUGUGGUUUCGCAUUAAGAGUAAUAUUCCUGCGGUCUUUUCAUAAAUAAAUUCCAAUUUGACUUUGAUGUUAGAUUGUUGUGGUUAACAACAAACACAACACCUUUCUGGUUUUCUUUCAUUAAUUAAUUUAUAUCCCAUUCCACGAUUGGUUUGCUUUACAAAAUGGAAGAAGCUUUUUAUACCAUUCCCUCUUUGUUUAAUAAAGAAGAAGUAGCAAUGAAGGCACAAUGAAUGGUAAUGAAAGAUACCCACUUCUUCUUAUCAGUUAUUAGUAAUAUUUUAUAUAAAAUGAAAACGUGAUGAGAAAGGAAAAUUAUUAAUAAUAAUAAUUACCCCUCAGGUGAGACCUUUAUUCUACCCACUCACCUCUAAAAGGAUAAAAUAAGUCAAAUGGAAUAAAGAGAAACACUGAGAUUAGAUUAGGUUACUAUGUAAUCACUACAAUUGUAAGACAACCAAUCUUUGUGAUUUGAAGCAAAGAAUGGAAGGGUGAUUAAAACUUUUAGUAGACGUUUGUUUGGGAUGGAUUCAUAUCGUAUUAACUUUAUCCCUAUUCUUAAAUUUAUAUCAAAAAAUGAUCAUUUUAUCUUAUCAUUGGUGUUUAGUUAAUAGUUGAUUUUAGUUUCUCUUCAACAGUUGAAUCAUAUCUAAUAUAAAAUUUGAAGUCUAUUAAAUUUCUCUGUCUAUUGUGUGAUUUUGUCCAAAUUUCAACAAAAGUAGAUUGAAGGUUAAGUGACAGUUUACAUUGGGAUGCAUCUGAUUGAAGUAGGUUUGCAGAGGGAUAGGUGAAGGUGACCCUCUCUCAAACUUGAGACUUUGACACAUGUAUGGUGCAAGUCUUAUCAUGAUGGAUCAUUUGGGAGACAGUAAUUUUCUAGGUAGGCAAUGAUGGGAUAGGGAUGUGUGAAACAUGCAAGACAAGGCCCAACGCCUGUUCUUGACGAGGUAAACUAAAAAGCACUACGUGCUAAUUAUACAUAUGUUCACGGAGCCUGACAAGUAUUGGCAUAUGGGAUAGUGUUUGUUGUUACUGCUUGACGAGAUUCUGAGGGUGAAGUCCUUAUGUGCGAUCUACCCAUCACACUUUAUAUUAAAUUUGAUUAAUUAAUUCUUUUUAUUUGAUUUAACAUAUUAUUAUUCUAAAUUAAUUAAAAUUUUAUUACAGUCGAUUGAGUUUUAAGCUCGAUUGGUAUGUAUAUUAUUGUCAAUGCAGGAAGACAAGGAUUCGACUGUGAUGAAGUGCAUUAUCCUCCUAUUUAUGGAUUGAAGAGGGGAUAUAAAUAAUUUUAAGUAUUGUAUAAAAAAACAAAUAU